GGUGUUUCGCUUUUCUGAUAUUUGCAUAGAAAAUGGAGUAAGUUCUGGCUUUGAAAAAUGGAAUCAGCCUGCAGUCUUAAGAAGAUUGUCCUUUUACCCUCCAUGAUGACUAAAAUCCCAGGAGACAAGCUGGCCCAGAUGGCAGCCAAAACAGACCGCGCAGCCACCAGAUUCUCACCUCUGCACCCCAGAAAUUGAAAGGGUCCCUCUUGUCUAGAUGAUCCCAGGUGACGGGCAGCACCGAGAGCCGACGGGAAAGUGCGGAAGAAGCCGCCGAAGCCCGGUGGGGCAGCUCGGUCAGUUUCAGAGCAGCCGGCUGGCGGCCACACUAGAGGGGUAAAGUCGCCCCUUGGACUCUUCUUUCAAGACUCAUCAUGCCCCACUGUUUUUAAGGUCAAUUUGGGUCUCUGUGUUAAUUUAUAAUUCGAUUAAUUAAAAGAAAUGGAUGUAAAAUAAAUUGAAAUCAAAUAACCACA